CUGACGCGACUUUAUUAGCCUUUUUGGUAGUUUCGUAUCGUCAUUCUGCAACAACUGAAUUUUACAUCUUCUGAUCUUUCUCAGCGUCAACAGAUUAACAAACAGGUUCUUGUCGGUUUAACAUGUCUGGUCUUACUUUAAGAAGUGUUCGCCUAUCUCAGUAAUCUACAACAUAUCAACGUCAAAAUGUCUACUGAAGUUUUGACAAUCCCUUAAAGUUAUGAUGGAGCAUAAGUCAAAGAAAACCCCGCCUGAAGGAAAGACUGAUUAAAAAGUAUUUGAAUUUGUUUAGUUGUGUAUCUUGCUGUUAUCUCCGGUAACCAAUCCAGCACAUCUAAUCUUAUUUUAAGAUUUAAAAAUUGUGAACUUUUGAAAACUUCAGCUAAGCUUGGAAUGGAUUCUUCAAAGGAAAUUAAAAACUUCUGUGAAGUUUGUGGACUGAACUUGAGUGAAGCGAGUAGCCUUAAAAGACACAUACGAACACACACAGGGGAGACGCCGUACCAUUGUUCAACAUGUGGGAAGAGCUUUUCACAGAACUACAGCCUUAAAAUACACAUGCGUACUCACACGGGUGAGCGACCAUUCCAGUGUGAUAUAUGUAAGAAAUCUUUCUCACAGAAUUACAGUUGCAAAAUUCACAAACGAAUACAUACGGGCGAGAGACCUUACCAGUGUCACUUUUGUGAAAAGAAAUUUUCUAAAAAAUCACAGUUAGACUCACAUAUUUUCAUGCACAUGAAAAAAGCUGUAUCCGACUGUGAUUUGCCAGAAAGUCCAAAGACAGACACAUCAACAAAGCUGUCCAGCAAGACAAGUUCAAAAGACGAACAGUACUACUGCUUGAUAUGUGGGAGCGAGUUCUCAGAGGACAAAUCUUUACAAAUCCACAUGAAUUCUCAUGCAAAUAAAGCAAAUUUAGAAGUAUGGAAAGAAAUUUUCUAGUAGAUCAAAAAAAGAAUUCAAAACAUCAGAGAAGUUCAUGGUAUCUGUGGAAAGGUAAAAAUAUAUUGAAUAGCAUACUAGGAAUUGGUCUAACACCAGUUAACAGAAAAAUAUUUAAGUAUGUUUAUGUCUUUUUUCAGAAAAGAUUAACCUGAGAUUAUGUUAUGAGAAGAUAAUAUAUAUAUGUGAAUUAUAUUAUGAGCACAUAUUAAGACGAGGUUAUGAAGAAAUCACUCCAACUUACUAUGUAAUUGUUCUAAGAUGAGAUAGCAGCCAAAGAGCAUCAACAGAGUUUCAGGAAAUGAAUUACACAAGAGUCAUGUCCAUCUUUGAAUAAGGUGUCUUGUAGAUAACAUGUGACUUUUUAAUGUUAUUUUUUACUUUUUAAAGUAACAAACAGAACUUUAAAAAGAAAGCAAUCAUUUUUUU